rnacentral:tRNA from 1 species
GAGGGUAUAGCUCAGUGGUAGACUGCACUCUUGGCAGGCACGAGGUCCUGGGUUCAAUCCCCAGUACCUCCA